ACAAAUCUAUAAGCGAUUAUUUAGCAGUGCACUCAUUAUGCGGUUUAUGUUUGUUCGGGGGAUGUCUGUAGACACGGCAGUAGUCGCGGGACAGUUUUAAAAUUGCCUUUUGUCCGGCAUUUCAUGAACACACUGUCAGCAGCCUACUUGAGACAACUUCGAGCUGGGGUAGUUCGUUUAACGUUUCAGGCACCUCGGCUUGUGUCGCGAGAGGGCAGAGUUAGCCGUUUGAGAGAGUGGUGAAUGUACUGCUAAAAAGGCAAAUCCGGGAGCAAAGUCCGGGGGACGCAGGCGAACAUAGCGAACAAACCACUGUUCAUGAUUCCACUCGUUCGCAGAGGCAGACGUGAUUAGAACUCAGUCAGAUCAAGAAUAUAAGCGUUCUGAGCUUUGAUCAACGCUGGGAGCAAUAUUAACGAUCUUGACCCAUAAUUUAUUUCCUUGGUUGUGUACAAAAUAUAUAUUUGUAUUAUUUCUUUAUUUUUAAUUAGAAAACAUUUCAGUUGUCCGGACCUCAGUGUCCUCAUGUAGUUACGCCCAUGAGUGAGCCUGUGAAGACACUUUUUUUCUUUUUCGUCCUAACUCCAAAGAGUAACCAGCUCCCAGACAGAGGUUUUGAGAGAUUUUUAUUUUCCUGCGGCAUAAUUUCUACUUUGGAGGAAUGCAGUGAAAUAAAUAACCAAGGUGCAGAUGAAGGUGCCAGGUCAGGCCAUGAUUGGUGGAGAACUCCAGGCGGACCUGUGUGUCGAUGUGGGGGGAGGGGUCUCGGCCGCAGCCCAUGACCAACGAGAACUGCAGUGUGUAGGAGGCUCCAAUCUGCAUGGACUGGGUCUCCACAUAACGGAUACUGGAGCCUGGGCUGGGCUCGCCUGAGAAACUACAGUACAAUAAACGUAAUACAUGAGUAUGUGCAAGCAGCUGUGAGUGUGUGUCCCUAGCCCAGUACUGUACCUGGCCUGAGAGCUGUCGAGCGGUGUGGUCACC